rnacentral:sRNA from 1 species
AGUUUUCGUCAAAGCCGACCUCCUCCCCGGCGAUGACGAAUAGGCCCGACCUUCACCUCCUCCCGAAGGUUGGCCACAAAAACGGCGCCCGCCGCAACCUCCUCCCGCGGCGGGCGUUGUUU